GUGGGGAAUAUUGGACAAUGGGCGCAAGCCUGAUCCAGCAAUGCCGCGUGGGUGAAGAAGGUCUUCGGAUUGUAAAGCACUUUAAGUUGGGAGGAAGGGCAGUAAGUUAAUACCUUGCUGUUUUGACGUUACCGACAGAAUAAGCACCGGCUAACUUCGUGCCAGCAGCCGCGGUAAUACGAAGGGUGCAAGCGUUAAUCGGAAUUACUGGGCGUAAAGCGCGCGUAGGUGGUUUUGUAAGUUGGAGGUGAAAUCCCCGGGCUCAACCUGGGAACUGCCUCCAAAACUGCAUGACUAGAGUACGGUAGAGGGUAGUGGAAUUUCCUGUGUAGCGGUGAAAUGCGUAGAUAUAGGAAGGAACACCAGUGGCGAAGGCGACUACCUGGACUGAUACUGACACUGAGGUGCGAAAGCGUGGGGAGCAAACAGGAUUAGAAACCCGAGUAGUCC
rnacentral:rRNA from 1 species